rnacentral:rRNA from 1 species
AGAGAAUAGAUACCCCGGUAGUCCACGCCGUAAACGAAUGAGCACUAGUUAUUGGGGGUUAGUUGACUCCCUCCAGUGACGCAGCUAACGACAUUAAAGUUGCUCCGCCUGGGGAGGUACGGUCGCAAGACUAAAACUACAAACAAAAUUAGACGGGGGCCCGGCACAAGCGGUGGAUUAUGUGGUUUAAUUUCGAAGCAACGCGCAGAACCUUACCUAGGCUUGAACUCCUACGAACCUCUUGUAAUGGAGAGGGUGUCCGCAAGGAAAUGUAGUGAGAGGUGCUGCAUGGCUGUCGUCAGCUCGUGUUGUGAAAUGUUGGGUUAAGUCUCGCAACGAGCGCAACCCCUAUCGUCUGUUGCCAGCAUUAAGUUGGGCACUCUGACGAGACUGCCU